AAUAAAGUCCUUAAGGACUUACGGAGCCAGGAGUUAACUUUCCUCAACUGUUAAGGAAAGAUGUUGCUGUUCCACAUCCAUCUCUCCAUCGCUGUGCCGCUGCUCCAGGAAAAAUUCCCCACCGGAGGGGAACCCAGAUCGAGAGUGUCUCUUAGAAAUAAACCGCUCAGUCUGGGUCUGGAGAUCCGUGUCGCUCCCUGCACACUGUCAUCCUGGCUGCCCAGUCCAUCACUACCCCUUUGUGAUGCAGCUCAUCGCCCUGCACUGAGGAAGGUCCAUGAGCCCCACCUCCCCUUCUCUCCAGAGACAGAGUGCCAUCUAGAUGGGUGCUAGGAGGUCAGGAAACCUGGGCCCUUCGCUCCACCGAUGGUUUUCUGAGCACACCGGACACCUUCCUUGGUUGCGUGAGCCUCCGAUUCUGUUUGCAGGAAGAGGGCUAUAUUUGAUUUCCCACUUGCCUGCCAGGGUAGGUGAGAAUGAAUGACAUGGACUCUCACCGGAGAAAGAUACUGUUUGAACAGACAGUCUGUUUCCAUCAAGGUGGGGAGCAGUCAAUUGCCAGGGCUCCACGCCGGCGAGAGUCCAGGAGACUGGACCAUCCCCCUUCACUCAGACGGCGGAGACCACGCCUGUCUCCCCUGAACGGCCUUGUGUGAAUGUCCGGCUUUAUGAUACAUUUGUGCCGGUGAGGGAGUUGGACACGAAGCAGAGGCAAAGGUGUGCCCGUCCCCACUUCCAUACAGAGCAUCAUCUGUGCGAGCCCGUGACUCAUGGCACACUCACCUGGAGUCGGAGCCCCCCGGGCACCGGGAGCCCUGCCUCCCCGGAGUAUUUCCCCGAUUAAUGACGGAGGACCUCAGCACUGCAGCUCACACAGAGCCUUUAUUCGUGGCCGGCGCGGGACUGCGCGGCCUGUGGGGCACACCCCCGGGCCGUGUGCGCUCUCCUCCCCCCUCCUCCCGGGGAGGGAGGCCCCGGCCCGCCGGCACUGACUUGCCAUGCCCCGCAUCUCCCACAAGGGGGAGCCCCCGGAGGGCAGCGGAAUUUUGGAAGCGCUGAAGUUUUUCUCCUGCUGUCCUCUUAACUGAUUUUCCGUACCCAACUGUAAGAUUUUCUUUGUUGCAAUGUUGGGGCCUGAGCUAACACUUCUGGAGUCUGCGGGUGAGAACCACGGCGGAUGCCAUCUUUUCUUGUUUGUUAUUAUCUACCUAGCAUUAUAAACUAAGGAGGGAAAGUCACAAAGAGCUUCAAGACGUUCACGGAUCUCAGGCCCUGGAGAGAGGCAGGCGGCAUCAGACAGACAGAACCAGGAAAUCUGAGAGGCAGCCAGAAGGUGCCUGUGGCUGCAGAGCCCAGACUUGACUUUGGAAAAGACUCAGAAGAGCCGGUAAACUUGGCUUCCUCACUUCUGCUCCUCGUAUGCGGGCGAAUGGUUUGAAGACGCUGGCCUCGCAAGAUGGCAACAGGUUUUAAGAAAAACAGGAUUCAUAAGAAGUUCCUUUUUUUUUUUUCAGGUAAUUAUAUUUCCCUUUAAUUUCCCCCGAAAUUUUCUCAAGUAUUACACUGUAGGCCUGCUUGAAUGAUUUAAUUAUGCAGAAUAACUGAAUUUUAAGUUUGAUUUUUUUUUUUUAAAUAGCAACUGGUUUUGUAAUCUUCAUAGCCAGUGAGUAGAGCUGUCACUGCAUUUAAUUCUAGAGUUCAGGAAAAGUACUUUGAAAGUUACAACUUAACAGUGCUGACCUCCUUUGACAAUGACUUAGGCGGAACUCAUUUGAAACCAUCAGGCACGGUUCUUAAACUCUGUGGCUACCUUCAGUAAUUGUAUUUAGAAAUAGAAGUAUUAGAGGAUUGUCUCUAAAAAGCCUCGCAUAUGGUCUGAAUUCCUAGAAGAUAUAGUUUAUAAAAAUUGUGUAAUGACCAAUGUGUUAUAAUAAUUGCAUAAUAGCUGAUGGUUUAACUUCAGUCCUGGGUUAGCAGUACUGUGUUUGUGGCAUUGUAUGGAACUGUCCUUGCACAUGUCCAGUGAGUAAGAUUUGAGCCCAGCUAUCAUGAUAGAGGUAGUUUCCUUUCAGUGUUAUUGAAGGUCUUUUGCCACUUAACGAUGUUUAGUAACAUAAAUGAUACAUUUUCUUGCUAAAUUUCCUUACCCUGCUUCUGCUGUUGUUUAUGUGGUCACUAGCCUACGUUUUCCAACUCAGUUGUUACUAUUACUAACUAAGAGAGCCUCACAGAUUCUCGCUUAAUAAAGCAGGCCAGACUUUCCUCUGAAAAGAACCCUCAUUUUUCUCCUCAACACAAAGAAGUUUCUUAAAGAUGAUAUUCAAUUAAUAUUUCAGGGAAGAUGUCUACUCCCAAACAAACCGUUCUUCCACUAAGUCUGUGUUUGACUUUCUCUCUCUCUCUUUUUUUUUUUUUCUGCAACUUUGGCAUCUUCUGAUUUCUCCUUUAUUUUCUGUAAUUAAAACUCUGGAUUGUUUGGAAGUUAAUACUACAAACCAUUUGGAAUGAUUAACUUUUCUGGGCCCUAUAUUUUCCAAAAAAAAAAGAUUCAGGGAAGCCCCGAAUUGAAACACAGCAUUGAGCUCCCUUUUAUGGACUUAGAGGACACAGAUUGACAAAGGUGAUGCUUCUUGGAGGUUUAAAUGUAACACUUUGACAGAUCUUCAUCUGUUGCUAACAAGUAUUGCAUUGUAUCUUUUUCAGAAAUGAUACAGUUAGUUCUCAUCACUUGGGCAGCCUGUUCCUUUCUAUCUAAUAGGAGCUCGUAUGUCACAUUCAUUCCAGCAUCCUUAACAGUGUUCAGAGUGCCCAUCCUCAUGGCCCCAUGCGCUCGUCAGAGAGAUCAAAGUAAAACAAGAGGCUUGGUGUUUAUUUUAAAAUCUUUUCUCUUAGAAAGGAAAUGAAUGUUUUAAAAUAACAUGAAGUUAAAAACCAUUUUGAGGUGACCCGUUCAGAUCCCCCUUGUUUCCACUUGCUUUGUCUCUUUGGAUCUAAAAGUCAAGCCACGGAGCUGCAGCUACAUUCUGUCUUGGCAACCUUUGCAGCACCAGUAGGCUCCAAGCGGUCAUACGCCGAGCUCCAUCGUGAUUAAACAGGCAGACAAUGAGGUAUCUAUGAGCAGUUGCCUCUCAGUCCCUAUUCGUCUUACUGUUGGUUUCUUGUUCUCUUGUUUCCACCUUUUAAGUUGUGUUCAUAGUGGCCUGCUCCUUUCUCUGAAUAAUUCCCAAAUUCAGCUGUCUUUUUUUGCUACUAGUAGGGCCUCCCAGAUUCUUGAGACAGGAAUGAAUGUUCGUAUGUCAAGGCCAACAUCAAUUUUUUUUUUUUUUUGCAAACCAGAAUCUGUAGACGUUGCUCACAAAAAUUGUGAAAGUCUCUUUGUAGGUCCUACAAAGAGAUGGAAGCAUAUGUUUUCCCCAGCAUCUAGGGAGCAGGAUUAUUUUAUUUUUUGUCAUUUGUCCUUGAAGUGCUCAGGAUUAAGUCUGUGUCUUCAGCGAACUUCACAAAAGGAGCUGUUAAGGAACGUUCAUGGUCUUGGAUGCUUUGUCUUUAUUUGUAGAACACUGGUUUUGAAGAAAGGAUGUUUUGACAAACAAAAUCCUUUUAUAAGAAGUCCUUAGAAAUAGAUUCAUCCCCACAUCCUGGAACCGUUUGGGGGCGAGCAGUUACACAAUUGCUUUGCUAGUUCAAAUUUCAUAAAAUAUACCCAGACUUGCUCAGUGUUGGGGUUUAGACCAGUAGUGGGGAUGGGAGGAGGGUGAAAGACAAACUUUUCCUGAAUUUGAAUCUUCGAAUUUAACAUAGCUGAGAAUCUCCUCUGGAAUAAUUUUCAGAAAAUACUUACAAGCCCAUUGGCGGUGCUUGCUGGUUAAUUACAGCUGUCUUUCCAGCUGCAAAUAGGAAAGGAGAAUUUCACCGUCUUUUUUCACAUAAUUACAGGUAUUUAAAAGGAUGAACUUGCAUCUGGAUUCUCAUAGGUUUCUCUCUCUAUCUCCCUAUAAUUUGAAGGAUUUUCUUUAUUCCACUGAUUUGCUCUCCUGCUCUCACUUUGCUCAGAUUGUGUGUUAAGAUCCGAAUAAAUGAGUCUUCCAUAAUAUAUGUUUUUUAAUUUUUAAGUUGUAUUUUUUUUUUAUUGAAGGACCAUCAAUUACCAUGUGUCACCUUCUGGUGUGCAGCAUGAUUCCCAUUCAUGCGUAUACAUACAUGUGUUCGUUUUCAUACUGUAAUAUUAACCGGUAAAAUGAUGAGGUUUACCUAAGCCCACUGUACCUGUGGGGCACGUGACAACCGAGGGAGGUGUGUGGGGGAGAACUCAGAAGAUGCUGCUUCCUUUUUGCCCUUUUAAGAGCAGGAUGAAGGCUUUCCUUUUCUGGCGUGAAACGAUAGAAUGGCAGGCUCUUUGGUUGGACUAAUGGUUUUAACGUUUCAUUUUCAGACAUGUCACACCCCCACACGAAAGAAGACCCUGAGGCCUGUUGCCACAAACCCGUAGAUCCGAACUUGUGGUGAUAGUCUACACAAGCUUGUGUCUAUAGGUAUGUGUCUGUGGGCCAUCUCACAGACCGCCGGCUCUGCCCGUGUGCCGUCACAAUCCCCUCCGAUUCCUUGAUUCUCUCUCCCUUCCCCUUAUUUGGCUUUGAAAGUGGUAGAUGUGGAAAGAGGGGCUGGACAUGGGAAGGAGGAAGGAGACCUUUGGUUCUGAAAUGAAUGGUUGCUCUUGGAUGAUUCAUUUAUAGGCUAGCUCUCCAUUCUCUUCUCUCUUAAAACUCGUCUCCGCUACCCAGUGGGCUUGCAGGGGAGGCAGCGGGAAUUUGGGCGAGUCAGGCAACUUACUGCUGGGUGAUGAGUGAACAGAUCCACACAUAAGGGUUUGGUUUAUUUUCUGUAAGUUUUCAAAGUCAUCACUUUCUUUUUCGGAAACUGACAGAGACUCGUUUAAAAGACCCACUCCACCCGGCUUGAGUGGUACCUUGUAGUGACUUCCUCACCCAUCGUUCACAAGCACAGUCAGAUCAGUCCUUAUCUUUCAAAGUAAAAUUACGGAGGGGAAUGGAUGUGCUUCACUAUUUAUACUUCUGUAAACACCCAGCACUGUAAGAGAAAAGAACUUUUUAUAAAGAAGAAAUAGCUCAUUUAGGUCCAACUUCGUAUUUGUCCUAAGCUGUUUUAUAACUUCACCAUGUUUGAAAGGCUGGAAUGAAAAUAAUUUUAUCCCUUUGCCUCUUAAAUGUCACCAUUGUGCCAGGAUUAGAAAGCCAAACUGAUUCCAGAUCAAAGCAAAACUGGCUAUAUUUGUCUCAUUCCAACAAUGUGAGCUGAAGAGUCUGUAAACAGAACCCAGGGUGAAAAGUUGAUCAGAUGUGGAUGAUUCUUAAACUUCUGCAUUCCCUUUUGGUCAAACACAGUGCCAGGAAUUCCCUUAAAUUUAUUUAUUUAUUGUUUGUUUGUUUGUUUGUUUGUUUGUUUUCAAUAUGAAGUAGUUAUCAAGUUAACAUCAGCCAGAAGUUUGAAAUUCAAAUGGAUAUAUUUUAUUUCACUAACUGCCAUCUCCUCUUAAGAGCCACAUUGUUCAGGGAUAACUGGUGCUCCUUCUCCUCUCAAGCAUAUAAAAAUGAAAUUGUGGAUGUCGUAAUUAGGAAGGCCAGGAUAUAGACGACAUUGUUUAAAGAUGUCUUUGAGGAACCCAAGCUCUGCAGACACUCCACCUCGAAGAUACUGUGAAUGUGAGUUUCCUUUGGGUUUUCUCUGCACAGCGUUGGGGAGGGUUCUCGGUAGAUCUGGACUUCUGGCUUGCCGAGAAGGCAUUGCUUUAUUCUGGAAUGUUGGAACAUUGCAUCCAGAAGAGAAAGACUGUCCCCGUUGGUGUGUAUCAUGUAUAAUUGUUUGCCCAAGGCCAUCAUCUACCCGUUAAGCAGUCUAUUCGGUGGUUUUAUAACGCCUCUUUGAAGUGGUUGACUUAGAAUGGAUAAGCUGCUAGCAAAUGAAACACGUACCUUCCCUGGAUGAAAACUUACGUUUGAGAAAGGCAAAAUCACGUCUCUGCUCAUCAUCCUUUUAACCUGCUCUUAAGUAGGCUCCCAGUAGGACCAGUGGAGUGCAUGGAUCCAGGGGAUACUGAGCAGCCUAAAUUCCCCAUAUAGGGACAACAUCAGGACUGCAGGGUGGCCUUAGGUGACGGUCAGUAUGUUUCCUUUAAGGAGAUUUUUUAAACCCAUCACCCUAAGAAAAAAGAUAUGCAGAGCAAUCUUUUCCAAGUUUCUAAAAGACCUAGGAUAUUAUUAUUUGAUUCACCUGGCUGAAAAAUACUCUGGUGGAAAGCCCAAAGCCCCUGGACACUGGCCACAAGAAACAGGAUAUUAAAUAUUUUACAUGAUGAUGAAAUUCAGUAUUUUUCCCUUCUUCCAUGUUCAUGAAUGAAUAGUUCUGUAGCUAUUAAUUAUCCCCUCGGGGCUCCUUCAGAAUGGACCAGAUAUUUUACAGGAAGCUGCAGAAAGUAAAAUAACUUCAGGUUUUCCUCAGAAAGACUCUAAAAAUACAUAUUCAGUAGUCACUAAGGCAAGAGAUGUAGAGAGAAUGGGUAUAAAACAAACUAGCUUUAUUAAAAUUCUCAAAUCAUCACUAUCAGAUUAUACUUACUAAGCUGUAACACCAGAAUAAAGUUUAGAUUUGGUGUUUUUUAAAUGGGAAAAAUAUUAUUCCAAGAAUUGUGUUUGAUAAAGUAGAGUUCGGGGAGACAGAGGGGAGCUGAAAUUUAAUUUUGAAAGGAUUCCUUGUUUGUGUUUCAAAAUAAGUAAACAGACUUCUCUUCAUGGGAAGAAAAUGAUAUAUGUAGAACAGAAUUAACUUUGAAUUUUAAGUUAAUGUGAUUUGUUAUUUUUCAGUGUACUUACUACAUGUGUCAUUCUCGCACAUUUAUUAGGUACUCUGCUAUGUUAUUUAACCUCAUCAAAUGUCACCUAGCCUCUCUUAUUAAGAUUUUCAAAGUUUCUUACACCUGAAAUCGUGCUGAAAUUUCACAGAGAAGUCACGAUACAGGACUCUUCCAAAAUUUCAAAGAUUUUUUUUAGCAACUAACGUGGUGCUCAAUAAAGUACAAGGUGGAAUAAAGCCACUUGUUUAUUUCGGUGUAACCAUAUGUCUAGCAAAAUUAUAAAAUUCAUUCAGUCUCAUGCUUUCAGUGAGCCUUUAUGGAUGCUUCCCAUGCAUUCAGUACUUUGCUAGAAGGUAAAGAUAUGACCUUGACUUCAAAACCCUGAUUAUCUGGUCAGGAGGCCCUUUGCAGAAUUGCUUGUCAGUCAUACCGACAUAUCCUUUAAUGAAUCACGUUUUAAUCGUAACAUCGGUCCAUCUUAAAAACACCUAAACUAAUCAAUCCAGUAUUUGUUUACUAGUGCGGAGUCCUUGCUUUUCCGUCAUCUCAGGCACAGGUAGCAUUGUUUGAGAUUCCUUCUUACUUCAUUUGGGAGGGUUGCUGCUGCUAGCACUUAAAACCUGAGUGUUCAAUAGUCUGAGAGUCUAUUUGUAUGUGUUCAGAAUACCUUUUAAAUAUGUUUUUUAAAGUUAAAGAAUACAGUUGAUUCUCUCUACCUAAAGAUACGUAACCACUGUUCUCCUGUAAAUGCUACUUACUCUAUUUUCUACUUUCUCUCUUCAAUAAGACUUUUAUGACAUCAUUCCAUAUCAUAAUUGCAUGUUGUUAUUACAUGCCUACAAAUAUUUACACUAAUUAUGUAAUGAGCCGUAAUUGCACUAAUACAUGAUAAUGGGCUAAAAUCAGUGUAAAUAAACAAGGAAAUUCACACAACCAAAAGAGCAGGGUAUUGAACACCAUUAGUAUUCUAAGAGCAAUGUCUUUUUAUCUUUGACCCCUAGAAGAAGAGUGUACAUGGAGAAAGAUGAAUUUUUCCAUUUCCAGAUAUUUAAAAGCUCUAUAAAGCUAUACAUUUAGGCUAAAAUACCAGCCUUCUAGCACAUUGAAACUUACUCUCUCUCUUUGUUGUAUCUUCUUUUGCUACUUCUUACCUGCCCCUCCACUGCCUUGUUUCCCGUUUAGAAGGGUUAUAUCCUGACUGUGUGUAUAGAAUCAGGCAAAUGGUCAGUGCAAGGAAAAAGGAAAGAGAAUUCAAAUGCAAAGGAAAGGAAAGCAAAUAAAUUAUAUUUUCCCUUAGUGUCCCAGUGGAUAUUAAAUUGUGUGCAUGAGUCAGUAUCUAGAGGCUGAGGACUCAGUAUUACUUCUUGAAUUUCCAUAUGAGAUCCAGGAUUUAAGGCAAACUUGCCAGGUUGAAUUCAGCCGUUCUGCAAUUGUUUUCCCCCUCUGGAGUCUUGACGACAAAUCUACCGUACUACGAGCAAAGCCACAACAUAAGAGGAAGGACAGGGACCUGGCAUAAAAAUAAAACCCACUUGGCUUUCAACUUCAGGUUCAUUUAUACUGCCACUUCCUCCAUUCAUUUUUGUUUUCAUGAACAUGUUUUAAAAUUUCUACUAGGUUCCAGGUCGUGAACAUUCAGGUGGUACUAGAUUUGCAAAGAUGAGGAGUGCAUCCUCAUCUUCAAAUCACACAGGGUCUAGUGAAGGGGCCAGACAGAUAAAUUAUAAUGCAGUGGUAUUGGGGUAAAUUAGAAAUGUGUGUAUGAAAAUAUGAGACAGUCAAAGAACUCCUUGAGUUGAGGCUUGGAGGAUGAAUGGGAGUUUGCUUGGCAAAAGCAGCUUCUCAGUCUUUCCCCAAAACCAGGUAGCAUUGAUUAACAGAGGCAGCCUACCCCUUAAGUAAGGCAGCCUUACUCUGUGAUAGGUACACGAGGGAACAGGGUUGGGAAAAUUGAAACAGUGAUUCUUCUCCAAGCUAGUUGAGUAACAUGAAGAAACACCAGCUCUUCAGCAUUUGGAUUUAUCUUUUUAACACAAUCAGCACCAGAGAAUUAUCACUCUGUGAUUCCCCGUGUGCUCAGACACGCCUCCAUCUCUAUAUGGCUCAGCCCAGCUCUUUGUGGAACAGCUCUUAUCAGGCAAAACCAGAGUCCGUCUGAGCAAUGAGGAGAGAUGGCCAGAGCAGUCCUCAUGGGAAAACACAAACAUGACCAAACAGGUGAGCACCUGAGAGAUGGGAGGUCAUCAAGCUUGAGAGUCUGUCUGCUGCCCCAGCGCUGAGCUGGAAUGGAAGAUAAAGGAAAGACCCAGCUUACAAAUGAAAAGUACAAACAGGGAAAUGUACCAUAUUUCCUUAUAAGGAAAAACAUACAGAGUCACGUUUUUAUACAUCACUAAAUACACUGUUAGUGUUAGAUUCUAUGAAAAAAUGCUGAAAUAGUCAACUCUGGGAAAGGGGGCACUUUAUAAAUAUGUGAAUUAUGUAAUACUUAUGGUAAAUACUGUUGAGUGAAUGUUCAUCGUAACUUCUAUAUUAUUUGUUUAUCUUUACUUUGCUCAGAAUCCUGUUUUCUAUACCUUGUCACCAAGUUUUGGCUUAAGCUAUUUCCCCUUGUUUACUGGCCCUUUAGAGAUUCCAGUUUUUCAGUUUCACAAGGGAAACGUUUGUUUUCCUAAUUCUUUUUUCAAUUGUCCAAGUUUAAAUACUGGUCUACUUUCAUUGUUCUCUUAACAGAUACCAGAGGGCAUUAGAUUGAUCAGAACAACGGCCAUUAUAUAACCUUACCAUCAUUUUCAUUUAAUAAGAAUUUCAAGAAGACCAAUCCCAAGUAUUUCCUUCCUUCCUGUCUGCACAGUAAUCUCAUGCCAAGGUUCUCGUGUUAUUUUCUUUACUGUCGGACCCUUUGAUGUGUUGUGUCUUCUGAAUGGUCCAGAUAAGUGACAGCACGAAGAACAAUUAUGAGACUAACUUGUCAUUUCAUUGCUUAAGAAUUGGUCUUUCAGCCAUUGUGACUGCAUGUUCCCAGGUUGAGGUAGUAGGUUGUAUAGUUUAGAAUUACAUCAAGGGAGAUGACUGUACAGCCUCCUAGCUUUCCUUGGGUCUUGCACAAAGCAACAUGCCGAGAAUGAUCACGAUGCCUCUGGGCCUUUUUUUCCCCUUAGGAAAGCCUAUUAAAGGUAAGAUUGGGUACAGUUAUUUUAAUGGUAUUUUAGAAUUCAGGUUUUGUUUAAUUCUUACACCAUACUGUUUUUCCAUGUCCUGUUUUUUGGGGGGUUUGAUUUUGUUUUACCAAAAAAUGCGAUACUUUGAGAGACUCAGUGUAUCAGUUAUCCAUUGUCAAAAUAAUGCUGAUUAACAACGUAAUACUACAGUGGUAUCUGACAGUAAACAUAUAUGUAGCCCAUGAGUCUGCAGAUCAGUGAUGUAGAGUGGGAAGUUUUUCUAGUCUUGGUUGGUCUCAUUCAUUCUGGCUGUCAGCUGUAGGAUGGGGUCACUAGGAUGACAGGGACAAUUCAGCUCUAUUCCACGUAUCGCAUCUUCCAACAAGCUGGUCGUAACACAUUCUGAUGGUAGAGGCAGAGGAGCAAACAUAAGAACAGGAUGAAUGGUUCAGGUAUUUCGCAAGCUUCUGCCUGCUUUAUUUUGUUGAGACCUCCUUGGUCAAAGGAAAUCCCAUGACUAGGCCUGGAGACAGAGUGGGGGGUACCACAGAGUUUCAUGGCAAAGGGCAUGAACUCAGGAAGGCAUGACAAAUUGGGGCCAUUUUUGCAAUCACAUUGCAUUUUCUUGGAUUGCACCAAGUUGCAAGUAACUGUGUACCCUCCAUCCUAGGCAACUCCCUAGGUCAAGAGCCAUGAUUGUGAAUUUGGUUUUUGGGCUAAGUUGUUCUUUGUCUGAUUGCUAUUGAUAGCCCCGUUAAUGAAAUAUGUUCCAACCAGCUUUUGUGGGAAAACUGCCAAGAGACUAGAAUGGUAAUAGUGUAGGGAUUGAUUAUGUCAGAAUGUAAGGCUUGGGCAUUUCAUGGUUUAACCGAUGAAUGAUGGACAUCUUGCCUGACCUCACCUGCAGAGCCUGUGAGCAGCAAGACUGCCCUGGAACCCAAGUCUGCUGGCUGAGGUUGGUUGUUCUAAGUCUGCACACUUUUCAAUAGAAAAUGCAGACAGUAGUCAGAAGGUACUGAAUGAGGUCAUUUCAACCAUUUUACUUCUUUCUGACACGUUAAUACACGACAUAUGUAAAAGAGAAUGGUUUUGCAGUUUCCAGCAAUAGCUUUCUCUCUCUCUCUCUCUCUCUCUCCCCCUCUCUCCCAGCUACUUUUCAAAAAAGAUGAGAUCCCUGUGUCACCAUUUUAAUUCCAUGGCUAAAUGUUUUCAUGGUGAAUCAUAGUGAUUGUUGCAUUACUAACAGGUCAAGGGUCACUAGCCCCAGUUUGAUGAUGAAGCACAGUUAAAGGGUCAGUGUCAGUGUCAGGCCACCCGGAUAGUUUCCAGCAGAACCAGGAGCAUGACUCUCAGGCUCCUGCAUGGUCUUCAUUUCUUAGCUCCUCUCUCCAGCCUGUGGAAGGGCCUGCGGCCUUGCUCUAGAAGACAGGGUCGUGACUCUAUCACAUUUAUUACGAGUUUGACAGGAAACACGGCUAUUACCUGUGUCUGUGUUGGAGAAGACUUUGUGUAUUAAACGUCUGCAGCCACUUGACAUAUGAGGACCUACUUAGUACUGUUUAUACAUUUAUAAAGCACUUUUUAUUUUUUUAAAUCGAGUUAUCUUCCUGUGCAAGAUAAUAAUGUCUUCUUUUCAGUGGCAUAAACUUGAGUGGUUUCACACAAUCAUGGUUUCCAAGGGCAGAGAAGCAUUCGGGGCCCUGCUUCUGAAGAUAAACUCACUUCCAUAUGGUUGAAUUUCUGCUCGCUCAGUAUUAAGCAUGUAGCUACCAGAGUUUAAAUAAUGCCCUCUUUGCUUUUAGAAUGACUGUGGUGUCUAGGAGGUCAGACUGUUGUGUUUUUCAGCCGGUAGCCCAUGGUAGGACGAAGAGUUUGGGAACUGCAAGGAAAAUAAAUUAUGGAGGUUGCUUUAGACCCAACCUAGUGUCAGUUUCGUCAGCAAUGGAUGGGUACAGUAUGCUUCAAAAUGAUUCACUCCCUAUCUUCAUCUUUGGUGAGUAUGUGUUCUGUUUCCUUAGGGACACUCUUCACUGAAUCUUGUGUCUGACAGUCAUUCUUAGUCUCAGAAAUCCCAAAUACACCAUUAAUACAAAUAACCAUAGUCCCUUCUGAAAAUGAAUCCUACUAUUUAAAAAGAAAAAAAAAGAGUUGCACCAUGCUACAUUUUUAAAAGUAUCUUUAAGAAAUUAUAAUAUCUACAUGGGUGAUGUAAGUGUUAUUUUAAUUUUUCAGAAUCUGAUCCCUUAAUGCAUCUGUUUUCCAGCGCACUGAUAAACUUCAGAACAUAAAUGUGUUGCUGGCAUCUUGGCUUCUUCGUCAAUCAAGGAGUUUUGCUGAAACAAUUUAAGGAGACUCUGGCCGGUUAGAAUAGCGGGUUUAUAAACUUGAAGACGAGUCAUCUGCAUGUCCUUUUUCACUUACAUGCAUCAGAUUCUUUUUGCCUUGGUUUAUUAGCAAAGACAUUUAACUAGUGCCUCAUUACUCUUCUUGUCCCACUAUACUGUUUCCCCUUCAUUUCUUGCCCUCCAAAUUCUCACCUCACCGGAACACUGGUUUUCUAUCCUAAGGCCCAUCUCUGGUGGUCUUUAAUAGCUUAUUUCUCUUAGUUGUACUUGCAAGUUCUAUUGAAUGCUUCUUUAGAUAGAGUUUAUGAAACUUUAAUUAAUGUGAAUCCCCAGGGGUCUUGUUAAAAUGCAGAUUUUGACUUGGUAGGUCUGAAUGGGGCCUGAAAUCCAGCAUCUCUACCAACCCUACGUGAGGCUGAUGUUGUUGGUGGGUGGAACACACUCUUGGGUCAGCAACGUUUUACGUGAUCAAAAGUUUCUAAAUUCCAAGCUGUCCAGCCACUUAGGAUGAGAGUAAAAAGUCUGGAGACAGCUUCCUGUCUUUAGAUACAUACGGCCAGUUUCCCCUUUAAUUGCAACCACACAGCUUAUCCUUUAAAAAUAUUUUAGUUUCUUAAGAGACAACACUGUGAAAGUUGCAUUUUAGGAAGAAGGGCACUGUGACAUUGAGUAUGGUCCUAAUGAUCUUCCUCUUACGAUGAUCAUUCAUUCACUAGACGCAUCCUUGAAUGGAGCCUGUAAAGAAGAUUCGCUGGGGGCGUGAGUGCAGGUAACAAACCUGGUUCUGCUGUCCUCAGAUCAUUUAAGCCUCUGAACAUCACUGCCCAAUGAUGUAAACCCGUGGACUAGAACUGGAUAAUUCCUGAGAUACCUUUAAUUGAGAAUAGUCUGCAAUUCUGGGAUUUUCAUUCAGGAAUCUUAGAUGGCAGAGACUAGAAUCUUACUUCUGAGCCUCCUCAUCCUCCUGUCUUACAACAUGAAAGCAGAAAUUUCCAGUUCUGUGUCUGUACUGUCAAAGGGACAUAAGCAGAAUGGUAAGGAGCAAUUUGCAAUAACGGUUACCACAACAAGCCACUAACACCGAAAGGCACGUUAAGGCAAAGGAAAAAAAUAGCCUAAGAAAGCAGUAAGUAGUAAUUCCCUUGUACCUUCCAUGGUUUGCAGAUCGCUAGGGUAAUAAAGGAAAGUAAAUUAAUUUCUGCCUGGUUAAUGUUUACGAACAGGGUUAAGAGCACGGAAUAUCAUUUUACAGUAGAGUUUAUCUCAGUGGUGAACGGGAGGGGGAUUUGUGGGCCAUGUGAAAUUCACCACCUCCUUCCCUGGUUCCCGUUUGUGCUCCUUCUAAACAAAAAUUAUGUGCUCCGUGCUCCACCGCCAACGGCAGCAUGGAGCACACGAGAGCUUCUGUGGCCCUUCUCAACCCUUUUACAUCAGUCACAGAACUCCCACUGUUUGGUGCUAAUGCAAAACGCAAUAACGUUUAGCAUCAGGACAUCUCUGAGUCAAGAGGUUAACGGAAAACACAUCUCCCAUUGUGUUCCUGCAGCUCUGAUACUGUUAAUGGCGAAAACACCAUGGAGACAAAUAGAUCUCUCUUUAUUCAGGAAGCUUUGAGUGGAGAGGAAAUACAUACGACAUCUUUACAACAUGAGAGCCCUCUCUAUAUGGUGCAUUAAGGAAGGACGGAGGAGGGGAGGGGUUCAUGUAACAUCGUGCUUGCUAUGGCUCGAGGCUCGUCUAGAGGGAGUUUUCUCUUGCCUUCAUUUUCUUUCUGUGGCUUUAAUAAAUUCUUCCAGUUCUGGCAGAGGGGAGUGAGACUUAACCUUUCGAGGUACAAAUUCGGGGAAAGAAGACUCUUGGAUAAGCAUAGUGGAAGGCUGUGUGGGGUCUUUCCUACAAUGUGGCCAGAAGAGAUACAAGAUCACACAGCUGCCCCUCUUUCUUAUCCUACUUUCUUAUCCUACUUCCCUUUGUCUGUGAUGCGCUUCCAGUGCAGAGACUGCGGACCAAUAUAUCUGUGAGAGGGAACCAAGGCAAAAAACAAAACAAAACAUUAUAAUUAUGCUGAGAUUUUUACUUAGAAAUUACCUCAAAGUAGACUGAGUUUUCUCUGUGGUCAUAUAAAGAUGGCUGUGCUCUUAUCAUCCACUCACGUGAGAGGAUCCCGUAGGGACCUCUUAGUCAAGGUCAUUUCUUAUUCCCCUAGAACUUUAAAAAGAAAUCUGUUUUAUUGUUUAUGAAUUAUCAUCGGAAGCUAAAAUUGGAGUGUUCCAUUCUUUAGGACCAGACGACUUUUCAUUCUGUGGUUAACAAAAACUCUGGAUCAGGAAUCCAUCUGGGGAGAGGGGAAUUUGCACAGUUAAGAUGCAGCAAAUAAUUAUCAAAUUUUCUACGUUCUAUAUAGUUUUUGAAGGAUUUGGAGGACACGCAUUAUUGAUUACCUCUCAGUCCAGUUAGAUGAGUAUGCUGGCUUUGGUGGGGAUAAGGGGAAGACCAAGGAUUUGUAUUCAGCUUUUUUUUUUUUAAUUGGGGUACUGUCAGUUACAAGGUGUCAAUUUCUGGUGUACAGCAUGGUGUCUCAGUCAUGCAUAUAUAUAUAUUAGUUUUCAUAUUCUUUUUCAUUAAAGGUUAUUACAGGAGGUUGGACGUAGUUCCCUGUGCUAGAUAGCAGAAACGUUUUUAAAAAUCUGUUUUCAUAGAUAGUGGCUAACAUUUGUAAAUCUCAGCUUUUACAUUGAAUUGGACACUUUUAGAUGCGUUUCCAAACCAGGCUGAUGCCCUGCAGUGCUGGUAAUCUCACUGUCGAUUCAGCUGCAUCACGUGCAGCUACAUUUCAUGUAUGAAAGUUCAUCAAGUCCGGGAAAGAGGGAAGGGAAUUCCAGAAUGACUCAUUGUUGAAUGAAUAAGGCCCCGAGUGUUCUGUGGUUGCCAUUUGAAAAAUUUGAGUAAAAUGUAUAGAAUUCAAAUCAUAACUUGAAUUCUACUUUGGAGCGUGCUCAGUGGUGAGGCUGCAGUGUUACAGCAGUGUGUUGUUUCUGGUCAACUGCUAACAAGCAACUUCAAAGCAUAAACGGGGCACUCAGCGAUGUGUGUUCUGAAUUCUCUAAGGGUCUGAGAGCCUUUAAUCUAUUUGUAGCUUUUUGUUAUUGAGUAAUGAAGUGCUGCUAAUAUACUGGAACCGAUAUGCAAAACACAUAUUAAAUCAAGCAUAAUUCAAGGAGAAUAUAUCCCCCAAGACUGAACAGCAAGGUACAAAAUGAAUUUAUGGGAAGGAAACUUUUCCUGGGGGCGGGGAAGAGAGUAAACUUUUUAUUGCCUUCCAUGACCGAGAAGCAGAGUUUUCUGGUUAAUCAAUACAGUUUUUUAACAAAAUUGCCCUAUGUGAGCCACACGAAUGACCUGUUUAAAAAAAUAAAGAUUAUAUUCUGCUGAAGGCUAACAUUGUUCCAAAUACAAUAUAGUAUUUCUUUAAGAUUUAUGAGUUAUUCAGGAUCCUGUAUGCUUCAAGAUCAGCAUGAUCAAGCAAAAUUUAUGUUGUGUAGUGAGUUGACAAGGAGAAGUGCCAAUUACAGACCUCAGCUUGGCAGAAUCCUGGUUAAAUUAGAUUUUACCAUUUAUACUCUACAGCUUAAGUUGGAAACUCGUGCUAAUAUUGACUGUGAUCUCAUCUCAUGGAAGAGUGCCAAAAUAUUCUGUUGCAAAUGAAAUACUACCCUUACCCAAUCUACCAGAAUACUUGGUCCUGAAUACAGCCUAUACAUUACCCUGUGAACUCGUGUGGUUUCUAAAUUUAGCCAGUUCCGUUGGCUAGCUCUGGCCAGAUUUUCCCUCUACGUUUUUGCAUCCUGUCCUGUGCCUUCAGAGAUUGACCUUCCUGGGCUGUCUCAACAA